GACGAACGCUGGCGGCGUGCUUAACACAUGCAAGUCGAACGGAAAGGCCCUGCUUUUGUGGGGUGCUCGAGUGGCGAACGGGUGAGUAACACGUGAGUAACCUGCCCUUGACUUUGGGAUAACUUCAGGAAACUGGGGCUAAUACCGGAUAGGAGCUCCUGCUGCAUGGUGGGGGUUGGAAAGUUUCGGCGGUUGGGGAUGGACUCGCGGCUUAUCAGCUUGUUGGUGGGGUAGUGGCUUACCAAGGCUUUGACGGGUAGCCGGCCUGAGAGGGUGACCGGCCACAUUGGGACUGAGAUACGGCCCAGACUCCUACGGGAGGCAGCAGUGGGGAAUAUUGCACAAUGGGCGGAAGCCUGAUGCAGCAACGCCGCGUGCGGGAUGACGGCCUUCGGGUUGUAAACCGCUUUCGCCUGUGACGAAGCGUGAGUGACGGUAAUGGGUAAAGAAGCACCGGCUAACUACGUGCCAGCAGCCGCGGUGAUACGUAGGGUGCGAGCGUUGUCCGGAUUUAUUGGGCGUAAAGGGCUCGUAGGUGGUUGAUCGCGUCGGAAGUGUAAUCUUGGGGCUUAACCCUGAGCGUGCUUUCGAUACGGGUUGACUUGAGGGAGGUAGGGGAGAAUGGAAUUCCUGGUGGAGCGGUGGAAUGCGCAGAUAUCAGGAGGAACACCAGUGGCGAAGGCGGUUCUCUGGGCCUUUCCUGACGCUGAGGAGCGAAAGCGUGGGGAGCGAACAGGCUUAGAUACCCUGGUAGUCCACGCUGUAAACGGUGGGUACUAGGUGUGGGGUCCAUUCCACGGGUUCCGUGCCGUAGCUAACGCUUUAAGUACCCCGCCUGGGGAGUACGGCCGCAAGGCUAAAACUCAAAGGAAUUGACGGGGCCCCGCACAAGCGGCGGAGCAUGCGGAUUAAUUCGAUGCAACGCGUAGAACCUUACCUGGGUUUGACGUGGAUCGGGAGUGCUCAGAGAUGGGUGUGCCUCUUUUGGGGUCGGUUCACAGGUGGUGCAUGGCUGUCGUCAGCUCGUGUCGUGAGAUGUUGGGUUAAGUCCCGCAACGAGCGCAACCCUUGUUCACUGUUGCCAGCACGUUAUGGUGGGGACUCAGUGGAGACCGCCGGGGUCAACUCGGAGGAAGGUGGGGAUGACGUCAAGUCAUCAUGCCCCUUAUGUCCAGGGCUUCACGCAUGCUACAAUGGCUGGUACAGAGAGUGGCGAGCCUGUGAGGGUGAGCGAAUCUCGGAAAGCCGGUCUCAGUUCGGAUUGGGGUCUGCAACUCGACCUCAUGAAGUCGGAGUCGCUAGUAAUCGCAGAUCAGCAACGCUGCGGUGAAUACGUUCCCGGG
rnacentral:rRNA from 1 species